rnacentral:sRNA from 1 species
AAUUUAUAGACUUUUAUGCAAAGUUUUAUUGAUUUUUUUUUUUGGUAAGAAUUAUCUUAAGUUGUGGUUGGCAUCUGCAAUCGUUGUGUUGUUCACAUCCAUCAGUCUACAGUUUACUAACAGAUUCUAAUCAUGCAUCUCAAACUGUAUCAUCAUUUGUUUAGUGUUAUUAUUAUUUUUGGAUGAAAUUCUUAAUUUGUGUUUUUCCGUGUCUCUGAAAAAGAUAGGGACAAUUGUGAAGCUCAAAAGAAUAGGUUAGUGUUUACUUAAUGUUAAGUGCUACUAAUCUAGAAUAAAUACAAAAGGUUUAGGACAAAGAGCAGAUCUAAAGGUGACUUAUAAGGUUUGCUCCUGGAUAGCUUUAUUUUCUUUAUUGGAACUCAAUUUAAAGACCUGACUUAAUUACCAACCCCAACCAUGUGUUUUAGAGUUCGCACAGCUUUUUAUGAUGCUUUUGUCAAGAUUAUUCUAUUGUGUAUCCUGUUCUUUACGUAUAUGUUCAUGCAGAGAUCUUCGUACUUUUUUGAGUCAGGCCAUGUGGCUUACUUUUUCAUGCAAAAAGCUUCCCCGGUUUUGUCUUUAAACUCUUACACUUUCGUGAAAAGAUAAUUCACUUUAGCCUGUUUGCUUUAGCUACUACCUUCUUAAAAGCAACAAUGUUAUUUUUACAGGGUCUUUCAGAUUUUCUCUUUGUCUUCUGCUUGAUGCUUGCUGGUGAGUGAAACGAUGAACUCAAAGAACAUAAACGGCGAGUGGUGUGGCCACCUCUCUUAGGUUCUGAGGUUUGUUGGUGCUUUUAGUUCCCAUAUCUUUGUCUAAUCUUUAACUAGUUUUACUUCAUUCUAUACAAUUUUUAUUUAAGCAAAUGUGGUUUCUCCAUGCACAUAUAAACUUACAAUGAUAAGAGUAUUUCAAAAUUGUAUGGUUUUAUCACUGGUUUUGAGCUAUAUUGAUUGGUGAUGUUAAAGGGACUGUCUUGGGAAUGUCAUAUUUUCAAGCACAUAAAUCAUGAAAAAGUUGACAGAAAUCUACCUUUCCACCUUUAUCACAUGACUGGUAAAAGUUAACAAACUUUAUUCAGCUGUGCCUUUUUUGUCCCCCAUUUGUCAAAGUGAAAGCUGGACUUUUUAUACUUGUUUAAGAUUUAUUUACUGAAAUAAUCUCGUUUCUUUGGUUUAUAGUAAACAAUCUUGUUUGUUUGGUUUAUACUUUGCACUAACUUCGUCUAGUUUUCCUCGUAAAACUCAAAUUUCAAAAGGUAGUUUAUAUGUUCAAGAAGAUAUAUGUUCAAGUUGUCUAGAUGUUAGUGCAGAUUUGUGAAACUAAUAAAGAUUUACAUACAUUAUUUUCAACCAUAAUAAUUGCCUAUCUGUCUUAGUAUGUACUGAAGGUGGACCUUUGAUGAAAAUCCCUAUAAAAAGCUUUUAGUGAGAAGGCACCACUAACUUGGUGAACUCAAUCAAAACCGACUUGAUCAUAAAGCCACUACUAAUCCUUUUUUCAGUUCUAAACACUCUUUUUUUUCUGUACCACUUUGCAAUAGAUGCAUGACAGAUGAUGCUUAUAUACCAUGAUGAGGAGUGGAAGUAUCAUUCAAAAAAAUAUUAUAUGAAUACCUUAAAAGGGUCUUGGAGAUGCAAAUUCUUGAACAAGAAUAGAAAGAGAUGUGAUCCUAUUGGCUUUCCUGAUGUUCCAGCAAUGUUGGGCGUAACGGUUGAGAAAAGUAUGUGCUAAUUUACUAUUCUAAAUGAAGAGUAAGCAAGAAGAUGUUGAACCGUCACCACUCUCGUCACUCAUUGGAAUUUCAUUCAGGAACCUAACCUAUGCUGAUGAUAUUCGAAUCACGAGCAUCUUGGUUAAUUUCGUCUGACUUCUUUUGAAUUUUGUGCACGGAACCUGUGAUCUUCAUUAUAUAGAAGACACAGAAGAAAAAGACAAGAGCUCAAGAUAUGCCAUUGGGUGCAAUACUUAGGCUGAGGGAGAAAGUCUUAUAGGUUUUAAAGAUGGUGGAGAUUUAGAUCAUUUUCUGCACCCACCUCUCCCCUAACCAGCUCCUCCCUAGUGGUCAAAAUCUGUCAUAUCAAGCCUGUCACCAUCAUCAAUAGGGUUUGGUACUAGGGCAUAGUGAUGGCAACUAAUGAACUGCUUCCCAAUUAAAGACAAAAAACAAAUCGAUUGUUAUGUGUUUGUCCGUUGGAGACGGCUGUUCCCGAGAUGAUACUGAUGUUGCUUUAAGACAAGAGGAAGAAUUUACAUUGAAUGAUUUUUAUCACACUGGCGAAUAGGAAAGAAGCACGUGGUGAAUGGACAUGAAGAGAAAAGGAUGCUAGGUUUAAUAUAAAUUGGAAUAAGAAGCAGUUAGUGGUUGUGAAGGAAGGAAGGAGGCAAGCAACCAAAUCUCAGAGACAAUUAUAACAGUAUAGAGAAGGAAGAAAGAAA